ACCUUCCUGAGAGAGGCUGGGGCAGGCAGUGACUGUUCAGACGUCCAGUGUCUUUGGGACACCUCUUCAGCGCUGUCUCCCCUGCCUUUAGGACGAGUCUCAA
rnacentral:miRNA from 1 species